AACGAACGCUGGCGGCAUGCCUAACACAUGCAAGUCGAACGAGACCUUCGGGUCUAGUGGCGCACGGGUGCGUAACGCGUGGGAACCUGCCCUUAGGUUCGGAAUAACUCCCCGAAAGGGGUGCUAAUACCGGAUAAUGUCUUCGGACCAAAGAUUUAUCGCCUUUGGAUGGGCCCGCGUUGGAUUAGCUAGUUGGUAGGGUAAAAGCCUACCAAGGCGACGAUCCAUAGCUGGUCUGAGAGGAUGAUCAGCCACACUGGGACUGAGACACGGCCCAGACUCCUACGGGAAGCAGCAGUGGGGAUUAUUGGACAAUGGGCGAAAGCCUGAUCCAGCAAUGCCGCGUGAGUGAUGAAGGCCUUAGGGUUGUAAAGCUCUUUUACCCGGGAUGAUAAUGACAGUACCGGGAGAAUAAGCUCCGGCUAACUCCGUG
rnacentral:rRNA from 1 species